UACGUAGGGGGCAAGCGUUGUCCGGAUUUAUUGGGCGUAAAGAGCGUGUAGGCGGCCAUACAGGUCAGCUGUGAAAACUCGAGGCUCAACCUCGAGACGUCGGUUGAAACCGUUUGGCUAGAGUCCGGAAGAGGAGAGUGGAAUUCCCGGUGUAGCGGUGAAAUGCGCAGAUAUCGGGAAGAACACCCGUGGCGAAGGCGGCUCUCUGGGACGGUACUGACGCUAAGGCGCGAAAGCGUGGGGAGCGAACAGG
rnacentral:rRNA from 1 species